rnacentral:rRNA from 1 species
UGGGGAAUAUUGCACAAUGGGCGCAAGCCUGAUGCAGCCAUGCCGCGUGUGUGAAGAAGGCCUCGGGUUGUAAGCACUUUCAGCGAGGAGGGAAGGUGGUGAGCUUAAUACGCUCAUCAAUUGACGUUACUCGCAGAAGAAGCACCGGCUAACUCCGUGCCAGCAGCCGCGGUAAUACGGAGGGUGCAAGCGUUAAUCGGAAUUACUGAGCGUAAAGCGCACGCAGGCGGUUUGUUAAGUCAGAUGUGAAAUCCCCGGGCUCACCUGGGAACUGCAUUUGAAACUGGCAAGCUAGAGUCUCGUAGAGGGGGGUAGAAUUCCAGGUGUAGCGGUGAAAUGCGUAGAGAUCUGGAGGAAUACCGGUAGCGAAGGCGGCCCCCUGGACGAAGACUGACGCUC